UGGGAUGUAGUGUAAUUGGUAGCACUGAGAUUUUUGAAUUCUCGAGUUCAGGUUCGAUUCCUGUAGUUCUAG
rnacentral:tRNA from 1 species